AGAGUUUGAUCAUGGCUCAGGACGAACGCUGGCGGCGUGCUUAACACAUGCAAGUCGAGCGGUAAGGCCCUUCGGGGUACACGAGCGGCGAACGGGUGAGUAACACGUGGGUAACCUGCCCUGUACUCUGGGAUAAGCCUUGGAAACGAGGUCUAAUACCGGAUACGACCACUGGAUGCAUGUCCGGUGGUGGAAAGUUCCGGCGGUAUGGGAUGGACCCGCGGCCUAUCAGCUUGUUGGUGGGGUAAUGGCCUACCAAGGCGACGACGGGUAGCCGGCCUGAGAGGGUGACCGGCCACACUGGGACUGAGACACGGCCCAGACUCCUACGGGAGGCAGCAGUGGGGAAUAUUGCACAAUGGGCGAAAGCCUGAUGCAGCGACGCCGCGUGAGGGAUGACGGCCUUCGGGUUGUAAACCUCUUUCAGCAGGGACGAAGCGCAAGUGACGGUACCUGCAGAAGAAGCACCGGCUAACUACGUGCCAGCAGCCGCGGUAAUACGUAGGGUGCGAGCGUUGUCCGGAAUUAUUGGGCGUAAAGAGCUCGUAGGCGGUUUGUCGCGUCGGCCGUGAAAACUUGGGGCUUAACUCCAAGCUUGCGGUCGAUACGGGCAGACUUGAGUUCGGCAGGGGAGACUGGAAUUCCUGGUGUAGCGGUGAAAUGCGCAGAUAUCAGGAGGAACACCGGUGGCGAAGGCGGGUCUCUGGGCCGAUACUGACGCUGAGGAGCGAAAGCGUGGGGAGCGAACAGGAUUAGAUACCCUAGUAGUCC
rnacentral:rRNA from 1 species